CCGUGGGAGGGAAGGCACUCUCUGUCAAGCUGCUGUCACCUUACCUGAAGUAAGGAGUCCACGCCUGCAUGUCCGAGGAAAACAGUUUUCUCAAACACAUUAGUUGAAAAACUGAAGACGCUGCCUAAAAUACAAGCUGAGUUAGAGACAGCCCUUGUAAGACUAGAAAAAGAAAUGGAAACUAAGUAACAUGAAUUAACAUAGUCCAGGGUCACAAAGCAACAUGGAACAAGAACCUGGAUCUGAAUUCAGAGGCAGAAUGCUGGGAAAGGCCUUGUGAGGACAUAACCAGGAAGAGAGUCCUCACCAGAACCUGACCAUACCUGCACCCUGAUCUCAAGCUUCCAGCUUCCAGAACCAUGAGAAAUCAAUGUUUGUUGUUUUAGCCACCCAGUCUACAGAAAUUUGUUAUAGCCACCCUAGCUGACUACCACAUUGGACAUCACAGCAAACACUACAACCACAAGUCCAGUUGGCUCCACAAGCUUGAGCUCACCAUUUCUCACCAGCUCCACCGCUACCUCCAAAUAAAAGAAAUGGCUGAAAUCCUUUGGAACCAAUAUGACCAACUGGAGUCGGUGCAGAAGGAGCUUGCUGACAACGCAGCCUGAAUUUCCACCCUAUGUUUCAUACCAACUCCCCCUGAAUUUGCACAUGUGAUACAUGAGAUAGCAUGAAGAGAUAACUGAGCAUGCCCAAGGACUUUCCAGACUUCUGCUUUCCUUCCACCAAUCACCUGCUAAUCUCAGAAUCCACCCCCUGAAACUUUUCUAAUAAAAA
rnacentral:lncRNA from 1 species